rnacentral:rRNA from 1 species
UACAGAGGGUGCGAGCGUUAAUCGGAAUUACUGGGCGUAAAGCGUGCGUAGACGGUUAUUUAAGUCGGGUGUGAAAGCCCCGGGCUCAACCUGGGAAUUGCAUUCGAGACUGAAUAGCUAGGGUACGGUAGAGGGAAGUGGAAUUUCCGGUGUAGCGGUGAAAUGCGUAGAUAUCAGGAGGAACACCGAUGGCGAAGGCAGGUCUCUGGGCCACUACUGACGCUGGAGAAGCGAAAGCAUGGGGAGCGAACAGG